rnacentral:rRNA from 1 species
CGUAAAGAACUUGCCUCACAGCUAGGGACAACAUUUAGAGAUGAAUGCUAAUACCUGAUAUUAUGAUUUUAAGGCAUCUUAGAAUUAUGAAAGCUAUAAGCACUGUGAGAGAGCUUUGCGUCCCAUUAGCUAGUUGGAGAGGUAACAGCUCACCAAGGCGAUGAUGGGUAGCCGGCCUGAGAGGGUGAACGGCCACAAGGGAACUGAGACACGGCCCUU